UGGGGAAUUUUCCGCAAUGGGCGAAAGCCUGACGGAGCAAUACCGCGUGAGGGAAGAAUGCCCGUGGGUUGUAAACCUCUUUUCUUAGGAAAGAAGAUCUGACGGUACCUAAGGAAUAAGCAUCGGCUAACUCCGUGCCAGCAGCCGCGGUAAUACGGAGGAUGCAAGCGUUAUCCAGAAUUACUGGGCGUAAAGCGUCUGUAGGUGGUUUAAUAAGUCUGUUGUUAAAGUUUAGGGCUUAACCCUAAAAAAGCGGUGGAAACUGUUAGACUAGAGUGUGGUAGAGGUAAAAGGAAUUCCCAGUGUAGCGGUGAAAUGCGUAGAUAUUGGGAAGAACACCUGUGGCGAAAGCGUUUUACUGGGCCAUAACUGACACUGAGAGACGAAAGCUAAGGUAGCGAAUGGG
rnacentral:rRNA from 1 species